UGCUAGUCGGACGAGUUUAGACUCGUGGCAGAUAGCUCAGUAACACGUGGCCAAGCUACCCUUCAGUCGGCAAUACCCUCGGGAAACUGAGGUUAAUGGCCGAUGUGGAACAGUCGCUGGAAUGCACUGUUUUCUAAAGACCUUCGCUGGAGGAUGCGGCUGCGGCCGAUUAGGUAGACGGUGGGGUAACGGCCCACCGUGCCAAUAAUCGGUACGGGUGAUGAGAGUCAGAGCCCGGAGACGGAAUCUGAGACAAGAUUCCGGGCCCUACGGGGCGCAGCAGGCGCGAAACCUUUACACUGCACGGAAGUGCGAUAGGGGAAUCCCAAGUGCGAGGGCAUAUUAGCCCUCGCUUUUGUUGACUGUAAGGUGGUCAACGAAUAAGAGCUGGGCAAGACCGGUGCCAGCCGCCGAGGUAAUACCGGCAGCUCGAGUGAUGUCCCAUAUUAUUGGGCCUAAAGCGUCCGUAGCUGGCCAGCCAAGUUCGUCGGGAAAUCCACCCGCCCAACGGGUGGGCGUCCGGCGAAAACUGGCUGGCUUGGAACCGGAAGGCUCAGAGAGUACGUCGAGGGUAGGAGCGAAAUCCCGUAAUCCUCGACGGACUACCGAUGGCGAAAGCACUCUGAGAAGACGGCUUCGACAGUGAGGGACGAAAGCUAGGGUCUCAAACCGGAUUAGAUACCCGGGUAGUCCUAGCUGUAAACGAUGCUCGUUAGGUGUGGCACC
rnacentral:rRNA from 1 species